CCAGGUAAAGGCCCGCGUGUGGCUCCCGCUGCCUCCCGUCUCUCCCUCGGCCCCUCAGGCUAAUUCGCCAAAAUGACCAACACAAAGGGAAAGAGGAGGGGCACCCGCUACAUGUUCUCUAGGCCUUUUAGAAAACAUGGAGUUGUUCCUUUGGCCACAUACAUGCGAAUCUACAAGAAGGGUGAUAUUGUAGAUAUCAAGGGAAUGGGUACUGUUCAAAAAGGAAUGCCCCACAAAUGUUACCAUGGCAAAACUGGGAGAGUCUACAAUGUUACCCAGCAUGCUGUUGGCAUCAUUGUAAACAAACAAGUUAAGGGCAAGAUUCUUGCCAAGAGAAUUAAUGUGCGUAUCGAGCAUAUUAAGCACUCUAAGAGCUGAGAUAGCUUCCUAAAAUGUGUGAAGGAAAAUGAUCAGAAAAAGAAGGAAGCCAAAGAGAAAGGGACUUGGGUUCAGCUGAAGCGCCAGCCUGCUCCACCCAGAGAAGCACACUUUGUGAGGACCAAUGGAAAGGAACCUGAACUGUUGGAACCCAUUCCCUAUGAAUUCAUGGCCUGAAGGGUGUAAAAAUAAAGACCUGGACUGUA